GUGCUCGCUUCGGCAGCACAUAUACUGAAAUCGGAACGACACAGAGAUUAACAUGGCCGCUGCGCAAGGAUGACACGCAAAUUGGUGAAGCGUUCCACAAUUUU
ensembl:snRNA LOC120101955 U6 spliceosomal RNA